rnacentral:lncRNA from 1 species
UAGGUUAUUUUCAUGUUGCACUGGUCAUCUCUCCACGUGAUUGAGCUGACAUGGUCAUGGCACUUAUGCAAUUCCUCACGGCAAACCCCUUCUUGUUGGUUGCAAAGGCAGAUCGCACGACCUCACAGAAGUUGUUAGUCUUCACCUGCAUUUGCUUUUGGCUUAAAAACUUUCUUCAACUUUUGCAUUCCUUUUUCAUGAUUGCACACAUCAUGUGAAUAUUCUAUCCAUGUGGUGAUAGUUGUGAGCUACAACUCACCUUU